rnacentral:rRNA from 1 species
UACAGAGGUCCCGAGCGUUGUUCGGAUUCACUGGGCGUAAAGGGUGCGUAGGUGGUGAGGUAAGUCGGAUGUGAAAUCUCCGGGCUCAACCCGGAAAUGGCAUUGGAAACUACCUUGCUGGAGGAUUUGAGGGGGGAUUGGAAUACUUGGUGUAGCAGUGAAAUGCGUAGAUAUCGGGAGGAACACCAGUGGCGAAGGCGGCUAUCUGGGCUGAAACUGACGCUGAGGCGCGAAGGCUAGGGGAGCAAACAGGG